AGCAGCAUGGCGCAGUGGUAGCGCGCGGGGCCCAUAUUAUUUAAUUCUCGGUACCCCGAGGUCACUUGAUUGAAACAAGUUGCUGCUA